rnacentral:lncRNA from 1 species
AUGACCUGCUUUCUUUUCUCUUUUCUUUUUUUUUUGAGGGCGAGUCUCACUCUUGUUGCCCAGGCUGCAGUGCAAUGGCAUGAUCUCAGCUCAUUGCAGCCUAUGCCUCCCGGGUUCAAGCAAUUCUUCUGUCUCAGCCUCCCAACUAGCGAGGACUACAGGUACAUGACACAAUGCCCAGGAAGUUAUAGAUAUGGCUCAACUUCUAGAUUCAAGUGUUUCUCUGAAGACAUCGGCUCUCUAACUGUCUCUUGUUUUAGAUUAUUGUAAGUAUACUUCUCAGAUUUUAUACUUUUGCCUCUGAAAUUCAUUGUCAUACCUACAUAUGGAUUUCUUUUAUUUAUUCUAUUUGAGAAUCAGUGAGCUUCUUGGAUUUAACAAUGGUAGAUGCUUUUCAAAUUCCAGAGAUUUUUCUGCCUCUAUCACUUCAAAUAUUGCUUCUCCUUUAUUCUAUCUUCGUUUACUAAUGAAAAGUCAAUCAGAAAUUUAUUGGAUCUGUCCUUCAGGUAUCCUGACCUUUUAAAAAAUUCUGUCUUCCUGCUAUAUUCUGGAAUUUUUUUGAAACAGUUUUCCUGAAUAUCAAUUCUUUUGUUAGCAUGUAAAAUCUGUUGUUUGACCCAUACUUCAAGUUUUUGUUAGAAUUUCUAUUUUCUCAAAUCUCAAUUUUCAUGUUAUGGCCUUUGUUUCUUAAUAUUGUUUCAAUCUCUUUUAAGAUGUGAAACAUUCUCUUUUAUAUCUUGAGUCUGGUAAUUCUAAUACUAGACUUGAGAGGUCGAAUUCUACUACUCACCAUGAUUUUAUUGGCUCUCCAUCAAGGUGAAAUUUCCCAAAUGUGUAUUGGUUGUGCACAUGUGUGCAUGCAUGUGCACACAUGUGGGCGUAGUGUCUGUUUCUUGUGUGCUUAUUUUCCUUGGAACUUUAAUAAAGGGACAAAGUCCAGAGUUCAAAGUACAUUACUCCAGAGAGUGUUCAUAUUUACUUCCUGACAUGUGACUGUGGGAUGCCCAGGGAGUUCUCAGGUUCUAGUUUUUCUGGACAAUAUAGGGUAUGUGAACUCAGAUAAUGGAUUAUGAGAAGUGAUUAGUUUUGUGAGUUCUCUGUAUAUUUUAUUUUCUUUUGAGACAAAGUCUUGCUCUGUAGCGCAGGCUGAAGUACAAUGGCAUCAUCAUGGCUCACUGCAAUCAUCCUGGCUCAUCAUCAUUCCUGGGCUCAAGCAAUCCUUCUGCCUCAGCCUCCCAAGUAGCUGGGACCACAGGUGUGCACCACCACAUAUAGCUACAUUUUUUAUUACUUUUUUUUGUAGAGAUGGAGUUUCACUACAUUGCCCAGGCUGGUCUCAAACUCUUGGGCUCAUGCAAUCUUCCCUCCUUGGCUUCCCUAAGUGCUGAGAUUAUAGAUGUAAGCCACUGUGUCCAGCUUCUCUGCACAAUUAAUUUAUUUUUCUCUGCCAAAGUACAGGAAGAUAAGUCUCAUUGCUGUACUAUUCUCAGGAGUGUAUUUCUAAUUUGCUUCUAUACCAGAGAUGUAGCAUUUGGAAACCCAGCCUUAUGAGACAGUUUUCUAUUACUAUCUGCACAUUGGAUAUGCUCUAGGCUUAUCUUUUGCUCCCCUUAUUCCUCAGCCAGGAGAAUAACAGAACCCCAAGGUCCCCAGAGUUUGGUUCAUGCCAUCAGUGCUCACCAACUAUCCUUGACUUUGUUUUCACUAGUGAACAUUUCUUAUUUUAUUUUCUGCUCAGAAAUUGCUUUUAAAGUUAUUUUUAAACAAUGUUUAAUCCAGCCCUUAAAAUUGCUUUUGGUGGGAUGGUUGUUUAAAAAAAAAAAAAAGUCUGGUCUAUUGUCCUGCUGGAAAUGGGGAUCUGGCCAUGACUUUUUUUUUAACCUGAUGUUGAGAUGGGACCUGACCCUUGACUUUACCCAAAUUAUGAGCAACUGUUGCUUACUGGAGAAGUCAAGUAUAAGCAUUGAAAAAGACAGGUACUGGUUGUAAAAGACAGUAUCAUUGUCCCUUAGGUAUAUUUAAAACUUCAUUUAUAACCACUCCCGACAAAUAUCUACUGAUGAUAUCAUCCACUCUCUCCCACUUUAAAGUGAUUAAGAUGAAUUGAGAUUAAUGUGAGGAACAAAACAGGAAUGUGACUGACCAUGGGAGAAGCAUGUUCUCAGUACAGUCUGUUCACCGUCCCUGUAACUGCCAGAUGUAAUGAAGUACUUGAGUAUUAUUCAUUUUUCUCCUGGCAAAACCAAGAACAUUAUUUUCUUGCCAGUGUAAGAAAUGUCUAUUUCUAAUUUAUUAGAUUUGUUCUUUGCUGUUUUGCUCUUUCAGGGCUACAUGAGAAAGUUCUGCUGCUGCUGAUAUUAGACUGGCUCCAUUAUUUUUUAUGAGAAAUUAGACCUAUGGCCCUAUUGUUUGAUAGACAGUUUACCUCUUUAUUAUUAUUUACUUCUUCAUGAUGCCAAGGCUGUGUCUAAUUUGCAAACUGGAACAUUGGCUGCUACUCUUUCGCUUCCUUCUGUUUAACCUACUGAUUCUGGAUGCCUGAACUUGUGGUCCUCCAGUAUCAUAAAAGGGUCACAUGCAUAUAUCUGUUCUUUCAUUUUUGUUUCUUCAUUUGUUUUUUAAUUUCUCUGUGAGUGAUAAUUACAGUCAUGGGGACUAAAUUACCAUGCACAAUGGGAGGGAUCUUCAACUGAAAAGCUUCCAAGGCUUUCAGCACAGGAUGCAAAUGCCCAGGUAGGCCAUGUGUGAGGCAACAAGGAUAUGUGGAGACCUGGGCAACAGAGCUUUAUCGCCUUUAAGGGCAGUGAAAUAAAACUUUUAAGAAACACUCUGAAGGCUAUGGAAGGUCAGAAUAUGCUCUUAAUGUCAGUAUAUGACCCCUCAAUAAUGGGGCCUUUAAAUUCUGUCAGUAUUCUUUCAGAAAGACACAUGUGAUUAUCCAAGUGUUCCCCAUGCACUCGAGUCUGGGUGGGAACAUUACUGAGAGACUUUUUCAGGUAGAAAGAAUGGCCUCUUCCUCAUCCCUUCAACUAUCUAGCCAUGCAUCAAAAGUAAAGUCUCUCUGUGCUUCAAGGAGCAUCUUCUCUGUAUUUAAUUGGCUUGUUCUGUAUUUAAUUGGCUUCAGGCUCAGAGCUGCCAUUAUAGAUGAAGCAUAACUUUUUACAGUUAUCCUUGGGAAUAACAUGAUUUACACAUUUUUUUUCUUCUUUUACAUAAUGAGCUUAUAGGAUGAGUUGGACCAAUUCUCACCCUAAUCAUGACUCAGCAAAGAAAACAUUCCUUGCAUACCAGUCCCCAUCUUUGCCUAAAGCUCUUGGUCCUCAUGACUGCAUAUGUAACCUGGCCCAAAAAGCAGACCUAGCUGCUGCUGCUGCAAACCAAUCAAUCAAUCAAUCAAGAUGUAAUCGUUUCUUAGUGCAUAGUCUACUAUCACUGCACAAUAAAUUAUCCCCACACUUGGGAGCUUAAAACAACCAAUAUUUUUUACCUUGUGCUUCCCAUAGGUCAGGAAUCGUUUACUUGGAGUGUUCUGGCUCAGGGUCUCUCCUGAGGUUAUAAUCAACAUGUUGGGGGAGGGGGUGCUGCAGUUCAUUUGAAAGCUCAAUUUGGGGAGGAUUUGUUUCUAAACUCCUUCACAUGGCUAUUGACAGGCUUCAGUUGCUCUCUAGCGGUUGGCUGGAAACCAGUUCCUUAUAUUGCCCAAAUCAAUGAAAGAAAUUAAUCAAUUGUUUCUGUUUUAAACCACUUAUCACUCAGCAGUAGGUAAUUAACAGUGCACCCCAAUCUCUUGAAGUGUCAUCUUCAAGCUGGUACCUUAGCUAUACCAGUAUCCUACCAGACUAUCAGAGUAAUGUGAACCUCCAACUGACAAGUACCCUGAUGACUUCAUGCUCAGUCUUACACUCAGAUCUCAGGCCUGAGUUUUAGCUUAGUUUAAGUUUCAGAAGAUUCAUUAAGCGAAAUGAAUCUUUACAGCAGUAAAGAUCUUCUGGUUUCAUGGUGUACAAUAAAUUUAUUCUUGGCAGAACUGAGACCAUCGCUCUCUUUCUUUACACUUAUCCACUAGCAAUCGAAUCCUUGUUACCCCACCAGCCAGAAUGGGAUCUGUGUGAGAACUGCUCUCAGUACCAACUGUCUCAGCCAUUAAAAAGCUAUGGUCAAACACCUAUAAUAAAUAAACUAAAAAUAAAAAUCAAGGAAUUGAAACAUACUACCAAAGAGUUGCUU